rnacentral:lncRNA from 1 species
UUUGGGUCUGCCUUCAUACAUUUAAGCCAGAUUUGUGAAGACUAGUGUUUAAUGAUUCUGAUCCAACAAGAGCAGGACUUCCCUGGUAGUCCAGUAGUUAGGACUCAGUGCUUCCACUGCAGGGAGUACUGGUUCGAUCCCUGGUUGGGGAACUAAGAUCCCACAUCCUUCAGGGAACAGCCAAAAACCAUGAACAGUCUGAUACAUGAAAUGAAUUGGGGUAAAAACAGAUCAGGAGUUGGCAGGACAUGGGUAACUUUUUCAACACCUAAACACUUCUCCAAAAGUUAUAGAAUUCUUUCAUGAGGAUCCUGCAGAUUGGGAUAUUUUGAAUCUCUAAAAGACAGGAGCCCCCACUGCAUCAGUAGAUUGCUUCCCACAUGGUAGGCCCUCAGUAAAUGUUUAUUGAAUUAAAUUGCUGUUUUUGUGGUUGAGCUCUCAUUUCAGGUGGCCUUGGGGACCAUAGACUCACAGGAGAUGUUACUCAAGGGACUUCCUUGAGAACUUCAUAAACAAGGACCUGGAGUCACCAGAUAAUGAAUUAAUAGGAUUUUGGAUGAACAACCCCAGCCCCAGGCUCACUUGGCAAAAUAAAGUGGAAAUUUCAGAUGUUUUUUUCCAUAAAUUUAUAAGGGAUGUCAUAAUAACCAAGGCCAGAAGCACAAUCUGUGGUGAGAACAGAAGAACAUAGGACAUAAAGGAAAAAAAACUCCAAAGCAAAUCAUACACCCUUCACUGUCGUCUUCAGAAUAUGGAUGAAAGGGUGGGUUCCCAGAGUCUCCUGUAAAAUGAGAAUUUGAAAUGUGAACCCAAGGCUAAUGGAUUCAUUUAAUUUUUUUAAUAAGGGGAAGCAGAUAGCUCCCUUGAGGGGGCAGUUUUUUGGUUUU